GCCUGGGUGGCUUUGUUGGUUGAGCGUCUGACUUCAGCUCAGGUCAUGAUCUUGUGGUUUGUGAGUUCGAGCCCCGCAUCGGGCU
rfam:Felis catus isolate Cinnamon breed Abyssinian chromosome E1, whole genome shotgun sequence.